GGCAUGGUUGUGCAGCGGUUAGCACUGUCGCCCUCACAGCAAGCAGGUUGUGGGUUCGAAUCCGGCCUGGGGCC